AUUUUAAUAGCUUAUAAUUAGAGUGUUGCUUUGAAGAUGCAAAGGAGGGUUUUCUCUUAAAAUA
rnacentral:tRNA from 1 species